rnacentral:lncRNA from 1 species
AUUCAUAUUUGAAUAAUAGUGAAUUUGUCAAAUCUCAAUUGAAUACACCUCUCCUCCCCCCCUCCCUCCUCCCCCCCCAAAACAAAAACAAAAUUCCAAAAUAAUCAACUGAACCAUAUAUUUCAACAGACCAAAAAUAAACUCCAAAUUUAAUGGAAAAUGUAAAAUUAUUUAUAAAACUUAUUUUACAUAAAUUUAAAAUAAAUGAAAUCCCGCGCUAAGCGCGGGUU